rnacentral:rRNA from 1 species
AACGAACGCUGGCGGCAUGCCUAACACAUGCAAGUCGAACGAGACCUUCGGGUCUAGUGACGCACGGGUGCGUAACGCGUGGGAACCUGCCCUUAGGUUCGGAAUAACUCCCCGAAAGGGGUGCUAAUACCGGAUAAUGUCUUCGGACCAAAGAUUUAUCGCCUUUGGAUGGGCCCGCGUUGGAUUAGCUAGUUGGUAGGGUAAAAGCCUACCAAGGCGACGAUCCAUAGCUGGUCUGAGAGGAUGAUCAGCCACACUGGGACUGAGACACGGCCCAGACUCCUACGGGAAGCAGCAGUGGGGAAUAUUGGACAAUGGGCGAAAGCCUGAUCCAGCAAUGCCGCGUGAGUGAUGAAGGCCUUAGGGUUGUAAAGCUCUUUUACCCGGGAUGAUAAUGACAGUACCGGGAGAAUAAGCGCCGGCUAACUCCGUG